rnacentral:misc_RNA from 1 species
UCUCCGUAGGUGAACCUGCGGAGGGAUCAUUACAGAGUUCAUGCCCUACCGGGUAGAUCUCCCACCCUAUGUUAUUAUUACUUUGUUGCUUUUGCGGGCCGUGAGGCUCCGGCCCGACUACCGGCCCCGGCUGGUAAGCGCCCGCCAGAGGACCCAAAACCCUGAAUAUUAGUGUCGUCUGAGUACUAUUUAAUAGUUAAAACUUUCAACAACGGAUCUCUUGGUUCUG